UAAAAACCCCGACUUCGGAAGGGGUGUAUUUAUUAGAUACAAAGCCAAUGCCCUUCGGGGCUCUUUGGUGAUUCAUGAUAACUAUACGAAUCGCACGGCCUUGCGCCGGCGAUGGUUCAUUCAAAUUUCUUCCCUAUCAACUUUCGAUGUUUGGGUAUUGGCCAAACAUGGUUGCAACGGGUAACGGAGGGUUAGGGCUCGACCCCGGAGAAGGAGCCUGAGAAACGGCUACUACAUCCAAGGAAGGCAGCAGGCGCGCAAAUUACCCAAUCCCGACUCGGGGAGGUAGUGACAAUAAAUACUGAUACAGGGCCCUUUCGGGCCUUGUAAUUGGAAUGAGUACAAUUUAAAUCCCUUAACGAGGAACAAUUGGAGGGCAAGUCUGGUGCCAGCAGCCGCGGUAAUUCCAGCUCCAAUAGCGUAUAUUAAAGUUGUUGUGGUUAAAAAGCUCGUAGUUGAACCUUGGGCCUGGCUGGCCGGUCCGCCUCACCGCGUGCACUGGUCCGGCCGGGCCUUUCCCUCUGUGGAACCCCAUACCCUUCACUGGGCGUGGCGGGGAAACAGGACAUUUACUUU
rnacentral:rRNA from 1 species